CCUACGGGUGGCUGCAGUGGGGAAUAUUGCACAAUGGGCGCAAGCCUGAUGCAGCCAUGCCGCGUGUGUGAAGAAGGCCUUCGGGUUGUAAAGCAUUUUCAGCGGGGAGGAAGGCGGUGAGGUUAAUAACCUCAUCGAUUGACGUUACCCGCAGAAGAAGCACCGGCUAACUCCGUGCCAGCAGCCGCGGUAAUACGGAGGGUGCAAGCGUUAAUCGGAAUUACUGGGCGUAAAGCGCACGCAGGCGGUCUGUCAAGUCGGAUGUGAAAUCCCCGGGCUCAACCUGGGAACUGCAUUCGAAACUGGCAGGCUAGAGUCUUGUAGAGGGGGGUAGAAUUCCAGGUGUAGCGGUGAAAUGCGUAGAGAUCUGGAGGAAUACCGGUGGCGAAGGCGGCCCCCUGGACAAAGACUGACGCUCAGGUGCGAAAGCGUGGGGAGCAAACAGGAUUAGAUACCCUAGUAGUC
rnacentral:rRNA from 1 species